rnacentral:lncRNA from 1 species
CGGCGCGCAGCGCACCCCGCCGACACUGGACUGUGCACCUUAUCUUUAACUCGCUUCGAGUGUCGAAGCGCUUAAACUUUAUUUCUUCAUAAGCUGCCCAUCACCAUGCGUUGUGCAGCCCAUUUGGUGCCGGAGAGUGGAACCGGGGAGGAGAAGUGUGGCACAGGAGUGACCAGGGCAAAACAGUGAAUUGGGGAAGAGGACGAGUUGGAGGCGGGGGUCAAAACUUCGGCUGGAGAGAAAGACUCAUUCCCAUCAUUACCUUGAACACGGUAAUUUUUAUUGUUUUGCACAUAAUUUUUAUUGUUUUGUGUACUUGUUUAAUAAGCAUGACCAGAUUGUUGUGUUUUUUUAAAUAUUUUAUUUGUGUAUUCAUGAAGACAGAGAGAAGCAGAGGGAGAAGCAGGCUCCCUGUGGGGAGACUGAUGCGGGACUCCAUCCUAGGACCUCUGGAUCAUGACCUGAGCCAAAAGCAGAUAGAUGCUUAACCACUGAACCACCCAUAUGCCCCACCAGAUUGUUUUUGAGACAGAUUCCUAAAUUUUCAACCUUUCUCACUGAUUGAUUCAUUCAAAUUUAUUCCUGAGCUAGGGUAUAGAUAGAUACACAGAGAUGAAUAAAAUUCGCCUCUUAAAUAGCAGAAACACAAAUCCUGGUUUGGCAAACAGAAUAAACUAAUGACUGCACUACAGUGUUUUCAGUGCUACAGUCAUAUAAAUACCUUAGUUGGAGAAAGUAAAAAAAUGUGGCAUUUGAGAUAAAUCUUAUCUACAAUAAUGGACUUUUCUCAAUGUUUCCAAAGCCUAAUUAUUAAUACCUUUUCAGAAACAAUGUCCUAGGACCUAGGUGAAAAGAACGUUGGGAGAGUUUGACUCAUAACAUGAGCUCCAUAAAAAAAAAAAAAAAAAAAAAAAAAAAAAAAAAAAAAAAAAAAAAAGAGGCACCUGGGUAGCUCAGUGGUUGAGCAUCUGCCUUUGGCUGAGGGUCCUGGGAUUUGGCUCAGAGUCCUGGGAUUGAGUCCACAUCGGCUACCUGCCUGGAGCCUGCUUCUCCCUCUGCCUGUGUCUCUGCCUCUCUCUCUCUCAUGAAUAAAUAAAUAAAAUCUUUAAAAAAAAAAAAAGUAUCUGCCUUAGGCUCAGGUCAUAAUCCCAGAGUCCUAGGAUUGAGCCCCACAUCAGGGGAGCCCCAUAUCAGGCCCCUGGCUCAGCAGGGAGUCUGAUUCUCUCUCUACCUCUCACCCCACUUGUGCUCUCUCCCUUGCUC